rnacentral:rRNA from 1 species
GUGGGGAAUAUUGGACAAUGGGCGAAAGCCUGAUCCAGCCAUGCCGCGUGAGUGAUGAAGGCCUUAGGGUUGUAAAGCUCUUUCGCCGAGGACGAUAAUGACGGUACUCGGAUAAGAAGCCCCGGCUAACUUCGUGCCAGCAGCCGCGGUAAUACGAAGGGGGCUAGCGUUGUUCGGAAUUACUGGGCGUAAAGCGUAUGUAGGCGGGUCGUUAAGUUAGGGGUGAAAUCCCAAGGCUCAACCGUGGAACUGCCCUUGAUACUGGCGAUCUUGAGUCCGGGAGAGGUGAGGGGAACUGCGAGUGUAGAGGUGAAAUUCGUAGAUAUUCGCAAGAACACCAGUGGCGAAGGCGGCUCACUGGCCCGGUACUGACGCUGAGAUACGAAAGCGUGGGGAGCAAACAGGAUUAGAUACCCUGGUAGUCC